GGUUGCGUAAUCUAGUGGUCUAAGACACCAGCAACAAAUGCUUGGAGAUCCCGGGUUCGAAUCCUGGCGGAACCA